UACAGAGGUCUCAAGCGUUGUUCGGAGUCAUUGGGCGUAAAGGGUGCGUAGGGGGCGCCAUAAGUCAGGUGUGAAAUCUCGGGGCUCAACCCCGAAACUGCACUUGAUACUGUGGUGCUGGAGUACUGGAGAGGAGAUUGGAAUUUACGGUGUAGCAGUGAAAUGCGUAGAUAUCGUAAGGAAGACCAGUGGCGAAGGCGAAUCUCUGGACAGUUACUGACACUGAGGCACGAAGGCCAGGGGAGCAAACAGG
rnacentral:rRNA from 1 species